GACAGAGGUGCCAAGCGUUAGGCGGAAUCACUGGGCUUAAAGCGUGUGUAGGCGGAAUUGUAAGUACCUUGUGAAAUCCCACGGCUCAACCGUGGAACCGCUGGGUAUACUGGUUGUCUUGAGCCGGCUAGGGGCGAGCGGAACAGACGGUGGAGCGGUGAAAUGCGUAGAUAUCGUCUGGAACGCCGAAGGUGAAAACAGCUCGCUGGGGCCGCGCCGACGCUGAGACACGAAAGCCAGGGGAGCGAACGGG
rnacentral:rRNA from 1 species